UGAGCGGUCACUGGCGCCAGAGCACUGGAAGCCAAGAAGCGGAGGCCAGUUUCUCGUCGGAGCUUCGCCAUAACAGCAGGAGACAUCAGGGUCGUCGUGCUCAUAGCCAGGCACCCUGCUCUACCUGCAGAGCACUCUAUGACGCAGUCCUGAAGUCACAGAGUAGGCUUCUCGCCUUCACCACACGAAGGAAAGAAUUCGAAAAGGAGAGUGAGUGAAACUUAUCAUUUAACUGUCGGCGUCCAAAUGUCGAAAUAAACUUUCACAUUUUUUACCUCCG